CUUAGGUGUUUUAUCUGUAUAUAAUUGUGUGUGUGUGUUGUGUGUAGUGUGAUCUUAGGUGUUUUAUUUGUAUAUGAUUGUGUGAGUGUGUGCCUGUGUGUGUGUGUGUGUGUGUAUAGUGUGAUCUUAGGUAUUUUAUCUGUAUAUGAUUGUGUGAGUGUGUGUGUGUGUGUAUGUAGUGUGAUCUUAGGUAUUUUAUCUGUAUAUGAUUGUGUGUGUGUGUGUGUGUGUGUGUUUGUGCAUGUGUGUGUGUGUAUGUGUGUGUUACACGUGUGAGUCUGUUUUCUUCUAUUGCUUUCCACCUUGCUUCCAUGAGACUGAGUGUCUCACUGUACUUGAAUCCCCCCAGUUCAGCGAGACGAGUGGCUGGUUGGCUAGUUCUCAGCAUCUGCCUGCCCCUCUCACCCAGAGCUAGGGGAUGCUGGCAUUGUCAUCCAUGCCUGUGCUCUUAUGUGGAAAGACUGAACUCAGAUCCUUCUGCUUAAAGAGAAAGCACUCGUGCCUGCAGAACCGCAUCCUCUGAUUCCCUUCUUCCCCCAAGGUG
rnacentral:lncRNA from 1 species